rnacentral:rRNA from 1 species
GACGAACGCUGGCGGCGUGCUUAACACAUGCAAGUCGAGGGGGGGCAGGGGCGACCCUGUCUCACCGGCGAACGGGUGCGUAACACGUGAGCGACCUACCCGCGUGUGGGGGAUAGCCGGCCCAACGGCCGGGUAAUACCGCAUACGCUCUCGCUGGGGCAUUCUGGGGAGAGGAAAGCCGGGGCGACCCGGCGCAGGCGGAGGGGCUCGCGGCCUAUCAGCUCGUUGGCGGGGUAACGGCCCACCAAGGCGAUGACGGGUAGCUGGUCUGAGAGGA